rnacentral:rRNA from 1 species
CCUACGGGGGGCUGCAGUGGGGAAUAUUGCACAAUGGGGGAAACCCUGAUGCAGCAACGCCGCGUGAGUGAGGAAGUCUUUCGGUUUGUAAAGCUCUAUCAGCAGGGAAGAAAAUGACGGUACCUGACGAAGAAGCCACGGCUAACUACGUGCCAGCAGCCGCGGUAAUACGUAGGGGGCGAGCGUUAUCCGGAUUUACUGGGCGUAAAGGGAGCGUAGACGGAAUAGCAAGUCUGAUGUGAAAACCCGGGGCUCAACUCGGGGGGUGCAUUGGAAACUGUUGGUCUAGAGUGUCGGAGAGGAGAACGGAAUUCCUAGUGUAGCGGUGAAAUGCGUAGAUAUUAGGAGGAACACCAGUGGCGAAGGCGGCUUGCUGGACGAUGACUGACGUUGAGGCUCGAAAGCGUGGGGAGCAAACAGGAUUAGAUACCCUGGUAGUC